rnacentral:rRNA from 1 species
AGUGAACGCUGGCGGCGUGCCUAAUACAUGCAAGUCGAACGGAGUGGCGCACGGGUGAGUAAUGUAUAGCUAAUCUGCCCUACACUAGAGGACAACAGUUGGAAACGACUGCUAAUACUCUAUAGUGUAGGAUGAGGCUAUAUUGUAUCAGCUAGUUGGUGAGGUAAUGGCUCACCAAGGCGAUGACGCAUAACUGGUCUGAGUGGAUGAUCAGUCAACCUCGAACUGAGACACAGUCGGGGCUCCUACGAGAGGCGGCAGUAGGGAAUAUUGGUCAAUGGGGGUAACCCAGAAGGGGCAACGCCGCGUAGAGGAUGACACUUUUCGGGGCAUAAACUCCUUUUGUUAUGGAAGCGGUACCUAACGAAUAAGCACCGGCUAACUCCGUGCCAGCAGCCGCGGUAAUUC